CAAAAACAGUUGGCCUGACUUUUUGAUGAUGGCUACAUGUUUUUUUCUAUGGAUGACUUCUUUGGGGUGUGAAGAGAGGUAGUGACUACAAUGCAAGGAAUGAGGAGUUCUAACCAAAGGCAGAUGUUCUGUUGUCCUGAAGAUUCAAGGGCAUUUAUGAUACCAGUCAGACAUAACAGGCAGCCAGAUGGAUGCAUGUGGGAUAGAAGAUCAAACAACUAUUAAUUGGCUCCUGCUCUGCACAGCCUGUGGGAUCCUAGCUUCCUGACAAGGGAUCAGACCUGUGGCUGCUGCAGUUGAAGCUCAGCCCUAACCAUUGGACCACCAGGAAAUUCUCCAGCUUUCUAUUGUAAUAAAGAUUUAUAAAUCA